GUUCCCAAUGAUGGUUAAAAUUAUAUAACCAUGCUAAUGCUGAUAAUCCAAUGAUUAAAUCAUUCAUUUAUAAAUUCUGAGGGAACU
rnacentral:snoRNA from 1 species